rnacentral:rRNA from 1 species
ACCCGCACAAGCGGUGGAUGAUGUGGAUUAAUUCGAUGCAACGCGAAAACCUUACCUACCCUUGACAUGUCCGGAAUCCUGCAGAGAUGCGGGAGUGCCCGAAAGGGAAUCGGAACACAGGUGCUGCAUGGCUGUCGUCAGCUCGUGUCGUGAGAUGUUGGGUUAAGUCCCGCAACGAGCGCAACCCUUAUCAUUAGUUGCUACGCAAGGGCACUCUAAUGAGACUGCCGGUGACAACCGAGAAGGUGGGGAUGACGUCAAGUCCUCAUGGCCCUUAUGGGUAGGGCUUCACACGUCAUACAAUGGUCGGUACAGAGGGUUGCCAAGCCGCGAGGUGGAGCCAAUCCCAGAAAGCCGAUCGUAGUCCGGAUUGUUCUCUGCAACUCGAGAGCAUGAAGUCGGAAUCGCUAGUAAUCGCGGAUCAGCAUGUCGCGGUGAAUACGUUCCCGGGUCUU